ACAACUUGAAGAUGCUAUUCCUUCCUCAGGUUGUUCGGCUCCCAAGACACAACCUUCAAGAUGACUGUUGAUUUCUCAUAUCAUUAUCAACUCUCCACAAUUUGGUUUUCCAUAUCUGCCUCCAAUCACGUUAUCCUUACCAUAAGUUCCUCCAUCUUUGUUUCUCCUUCACCAUUGAUUUCGAGUUUCAUUGUUUUUUAAUUGUUUGACAUCGAACUUAGGGUUUCAUUUGUACAUUUGGAUUGCUCAUUGUUUCUUUGUAGUUCUUUGAUGUCAAAUUCAGGAUUUCAUUUAUGCAUUCAGAUUUCUCCAUCACUCUCCAGUUCACCCUUUAUCAUGAGUAACAUCGACAACUUCUGAUGCUUACCAAGAGCAGGCUCAGAUACAACAACAAGGUUCUUGAACUUGGAAUCUUUAGAUGCCAUUGCGAGAAUGGGUUUUGAUUCAGAAUUAUAAUAAAGUUUUGAUGUGAUAUGGUUUAUAUAAAUGAGUUUUUUGGAAUUUGGAGGAAGAAUGGAGACGGUUGGUUUCAUUCUUUAGUUACCCAAUCUCUUGUGCUUCCUUUUUUUCAUAUAACUGAAUUAUAUAACUGAUUGCAUAAAUAUAACAGCAUUUUCCGAUACAAGAUUCUUAAAUGACGGUUGGGUAUGUGUCAUUAAUUUCUCAAGGCUUAAGGCUUAAGGCUUAAUGACUUGAUUGUUCUUGCUAACAUAUGGAGUUGUCGUUUCUAUUAUGCAUAUGCUCAUAAAGUAUUACCUUCAAACCCAGUUUGGCUUGAAAACUUCCAAUGCAGUGCAGCGAUUGACAAAUCUUUAACCCUGGAUCAUCUCCUACCUCUUGGUAACUCUCAAGAUUUGAUCCAUUAAUGUGUUUUGCGCUUUUGAUUACUUACCGCGUAAGAUUUUAGUCCACCAAAACGCUAUCCUAUGCAAUGAUUUACCCGGUAAGCGCUUAUUGUGGUAAGAAUCGUUGCCCUCACUUACCGGGUAAGACUCUUGGUCCUUAUAAGAUUCUUGGCAAAUACCAUAUUCAUUCGAUAAGUUAAUGCAACUUGGUGUUCACUUACCUGAGUAAGCGUUUGGUAAACGGCUCCUAAUUUAUUUUCCCUUAUUUGAUCCUGAGCUUGCUUUUAAUGUCUUUUAGAAUGGCUUCAAAAUACCCCAAGAGAAAAGCAAAACUUGCAUUGGCCCAUCAUCGAUUGUUGAAAAAAGCUUCAGAUCCAAAGUCGGCAGU